AUGAAGCGGCGCAGGCAGGCGGACCGCCUGAGCGCUCUCCCGGACGAGAUGAUGCAGCACAUCCUCUCCCAGCUCCCGUCCGAGGAGGCCGUGUGCACCAGCGCGCUCUCCCGCCGGUGGCGCGACGUCCCCGCCCGCGUCACCACCGUCGACCUCGCCGACCCCGCCAAAGGCGAUUAUGGGCGUCACAAUAUGAGCGAGGACCUCGACCUCCCGGUCUGCUUCGCCCACAAGGUGACGGGGGCGAUCCUCGGCAAGGCCCCCUCGGCGCCCAUCCGCACCCUCCGCCUCGACAUCCUCAACCCGUCCGGCGAUCUGCUCGACCAGUGGAUCGGCUCCGCCGUGUCCACCGGCGCUGAGGACAUCGACGUCAAGCUCAGGUACAGUCACCUCUCCCGGCGCAGGCUCUGCCCCUACGGCUCAUCGGAGAGGGCCUCUGCGGACUUCGAAAUCUACGAACGGAACGGCUAUACCAAGACGCAGAACCAUCUAUUCCGGUGCCGCACGCUUCGCCGCCUACGCCUCGUCAACUGGAGGCUCGAUGUGCACGGAACCGUCUCCAUGGCGUCCCUGGAGACGCUCUGCCUCGCCAGGAUCAUGGACCCCAAAGGGAUGCUGCAGCACCUGCUCUCCAACUGCCCACGCCUCGCUGACCUGACGCUGCAGGAGUGCCCGAGCCUCACGAAAAUCACGGUGGCCAGCGCCCACCUGCGGAGUUUCGCCAUGAUCUGCUGCCACAAUGCCACGCGCAUCAAGCUGAGCAGCUCCUGCCUCCGGUCGCUGCACUACAAAGGCGGCCUUCCUCGCAAAUCGCUCUUCAAGCUUGCAAACCAUGCCGGAGUCACGGCGCUGACAGUUGAAAUCUGUGAAGACCUCUCCGGAAAAGAACCAGCAGAAUUUGCUCCUGCCACUAAGCUCAUCAAACGGUGCACCAAACUGGCGUACCUUCACCUUUCCUUCCGCCCAUCAAUGGCUUACUAUAGCAGCUUGAUCAAAGUCAAACAUGUGGCGCCCUGCAUAGAGCAUCUUAGGCAGUUGGGCCUCCGGUGCUGCCUGCGCGACCAUCACGACAUCCGGUCAGUUGCUGUCUUGCUUUGUCACACCCAGAACUUGGAAGUGCUGUCGAUGUUUCCUAUGGCUCCUGAGACUCCAAAGGAGUACUCGUCUGAUAGCGAAUCAGAUAUCGAGCUUGAGAACAACGUCGUUGAGGAUGGGGUCGACUAUAGUAGCCAGGUGACCCAUAGUGGUUUCUGGCCAAUGCAGAUCAGCUGCUUGGAUGAUAAACUGAGAAGAAUUAACAUUGGGAUGUACAGAGGGCUGCAACUCGAAAAGAUGCUUGCAAAGUUUCUACUUUCAAAGGCUGCGGCUUUGGAGGAAUUCUCUGUUACCUUAACGGCUGGAUGUUCCCAAAGUAAGCGUAAGGUUGCAAAGGAGCUUCGAUCCUGGCGGUGGAAUCACCAUACCAGAGUAACUGUAAAUAGAUGA
rnacentral:rRNA from 1 species